rnacentral:lncRNA from 1 species
AUUGAUUUUCACAGGUUUGAUAACCAGCUACAAAAAGUUUUUUUUUUUUUUUGAGAGAUAGAUAGCACGUUACCUGCUUAAUUUAUUUUAUUUAGAAAUAAACUUAGCUGAAAAUGUGAAUCAACUAGGAUUCGAACUCGGAUCUCGAAUACCAACCACCAAGUCUUUUGCCACUUGCUCUAGGGAUGGUUGGUCCAGCUACAAAAAGUUAAAAACAAUAG